GCCGGGUUGGCUCAAUGGUAGAGCAUCGCCCUCCUACCAGCCCUAAUUUGUUGAGGCGAAGGUUGCGGGUUCAAGCCCCGUGCUCGGUA